GUGGCUAUAGCUCAGUUGGUUAGAGCGCCAGUUUGUGGUACUGGAAGUCGCAGGUUCAAUUCCUGUUAGCCACCCCA
rnacentral:tRNA from 1 species